rnacentral:lncRNA from 1 species
ACAAUAUGCAACAUAAUUCAAAUUCUUCACCUUUUUGUCUUCUACCUUUUUAUUAGCAAUUAACUUAGUCAAGUUUUCAAACCAUGUUCAAGUUCAACUUGAACUAAAGGCAAGAAAAUUGACAGCUAAUAAACCCCCCACAAAAAUAGGUCAUAAUAGAAUACAACAACUAACAUUUGACCCUGAAGAAUAGCUGAAUUUAGCACCUAAAAUUUCAAGAAAUAAAAAUAAACAUUUUUCAACUAAACCCCAGAUGAAAAGUUACAGCUUUUUCCAAUUCAACCUCCU